GGCCGUGUGGCGUAAUGGCAACGCGUCUGACUACGAAUCAGGAGAUUGCAGGUUCGACCCCUGCCUCGGUCA